rnacentral:tRNA from 1 species
CUAGAGCUAAAGGAAUCGAACCUAAUCCUAAGAACUCAAAAUUCUCCGUGCUACCACAUCACACCCAACUCUA